AUAGCUCUAAGCCCACAGCCAAAGAGCUUCGGGUCAAUCUCCUGAUAUCCAUUACCAGCAGUUGGAAAAAGAUAGAAAAUGCGGUGCAGAAGGAAAGUCCAAUUGGUACGGCACAUCACAGGAUGUGCUUCACCUGGGACAUGACUGCCUGCAGAGAGCAAGUGAAUUUUUGUUAGGUUUCUGGGAGACCUGUGAACUCUCUCAAUAGAUCUCCAACCAGCCGCAAUGAAGAACAAACAGAUUUUGUCCCCAGGCUACAACCAUUUCAUUUGCCCACAUACCCCUACUCAGAGCAGUCUGCCUGAAUGAAUACAGCUGUACAGCUGGAACUGAAGUGGAGAAGACAGUCUUUCUUUACAGAGUUCUGUAGCAGGUCCUGUUAUGAAUCACUACGUUUUAACAUACCCUGCUGUCAUGACAAGCUAUCAAAGCACUCACAGCUCCUGUCUAUUUUCCCUACUGUGUAAGGAAAGACCUUCACAGCCAAGGGCUCAGGCUGCUGGGAGGGAAACUUGGUGGGCUCUGUCCCACACACUAUACAAUUUUGGCUGUGUCGGCAAUCUGCCUCAGCUUCUCUGCUGUGAUCAAGGACUACCACAGCACUGGCCUGGAGCGGAGCAAGACCUGGAGCUGCCUCUGAAGUCAACCCGCUAAAACCAGACGCAAGUCUUCCAAUAAUAAACACUAGCAUACUGAAAAGGGCUCUGAAAUUUCCCUUUCAAACAUUUAAAUGCAGGUGUUGCUGCCAGAAUUGCUCCCACUCAACAACUGGAAACUGUUUGAUAUUCAUAUGCAGAAAAUGCAAAUGUAUGAGAUCACAUCUGCCUUGUGAGCAGCAAGUGAUGCUGCAGGCAGGUCAGGAUGAAGAACAAAAAGAGCUAUUGGCCUACUAACAGUUUAAUGCAGAUUUCCCAUUGCCAUUACUCAUCCACCAAACACCAGGCUUUGGUCAACACUAAUGGCAUACAUGAGUUCACGUAAGUAAAAAACACAGUUAAUUUUGUUCAUAUUUUCUCUCUACUUGAGCUAAUCACUC